rnacentral:rRNA from 1 species
ACGCUCGACACCUACGGCAGCAGUGGGGAAUAUUGCACAAUGGGGGAAACCCUGAUGCAGCGAUGCCGCGUGAAGGAAGAAGUAUCUCGGUAUGUAAACUUCUAUCAGCAGGGAAGAAAAUGACGGUACCUGACUAAGAAGCCCCGGCUAACUACGUGCCAGCAGCCACGGUAAUCUGAGCGGGCUGGCAAGGC